GAGUUUGAUCGUGGCUCAGAACGAACGCUGGCGGCAGGCUUAACACAUGCAAGUCGAACGCCCCGCAAGGGGAGUGGCAGACGGGUGAGUAACACGUGGGAACAUGCCCAAAGGUACGGAAUAUCCUCGGGAAACUGGGAGCAAUACCGUAUGUGCCCGAAAGGGGAAAGAUUUAUCGCCUUUGGAUUGGCCCGCGUCGGAUUAGCUAGUUGGUGGGGUAAAAGCCUACCAAGGCGACGAUCCGUAGCUGGUCUGAGAGGACGACCAGCCACACUGGGACUGAGACACGGCCCAGACUCCUACGGGAGGCAGCAGUGGGGAAUCUUGGACAAUGGGCGCAAGCCUGAUCCAGCCAUGCCGCGUGGAUGAUGAAGGCCCUAGGGUUGUAAAAUCCUUUCGUUGGGACGAUAAUGACGGUACCCAAAGAAGAAGCUCCGGCUAACUUCGUGCCAGCCGCCGCGGUAAG
rnacentral:rRNA from 1 species